GGCCGGAUGGCAGAGUGGUUAUGCAGAGGACUGCAAAUCCUCGUAGACCGGUUCGAUUCCGGUUCCGGCCUCCA
rnacentral:tRNA from 2 species